rnacentral:rRNA from 1 species
UACCAGCACCCCGAGUGGUCGGGACGAUUAUUGGGCCUAAAGCAUCCGUAGCCGGUCCUACAAGUCUUCCGUUAAAUCCACCUGCUUAACAGAUGGGCUGCGGAAGAUACUAUAGGGCUAGGAGGCGGGAGAGGCAAGCGGUACUCAGUGGGUAGGGGUAAAAUCCUCUGAUCCAUUGAAGACCACCAGUGGCGAAGGCGGCUUGCCAGAACGCGCUCGACGGUGAGGGAUGAAAGCUGGAGGAGCAAACCGG